UUUCAAAUUUACCAGACUGUGUACGUAUGCAUUCUUUUAACCACUCACAGAACCAGCUUCGGUCCUGGACCCCUCAAUGUACCUGCAACAUUGCGUUUUAGUCACUCGCUGUGCACUCUAGCAUAGUAGGUGGUGGUAAUGCACCCUUCAGUUGGUUGCCACCUGCUAUUUAAAAGAAAAAAGAAGAAGAAGAAGAAGAAGUCACUCACGGGGACACUAACUGACAUGGGGCCAUUAGGGUUCAGAAAGUGCUCCGUUGUUGGUUGUUCCUACCAGCAUCGCAGCCUUCUCAUUUUACUAGCGGAGCAAGAAAGGAGAACUUUUAUUGUAAAUGGAGCGGUGCUGGCACCGCUGCCUAAAUGCUUGUUCAUGUGUGGGCACCAUUUCACCUCCAGCUGCUUUGAAAACAAGGGUAUAUUAAUUAUUGGCCUUGAGGUUGAAGAAGGGCUCUGUUCCUACAAGACGUGAUCUAUUUGCUGCUUUCCCAAACAUAAGUCCAUGCUUGAUAUUUAUUUAAUGUAUGUACUCCAGAGGCUUCUUUGUUUAUAAUCUAGCUCCCCUCCUGUGUAAGGAAUGCUAAUGGCUAGAACAGUUGAUGCUAACAGCUAUAGAUAGAUACAGUGUUGCAAGGUGCUGCCAUGCAAUUUGGAUGAGUCCAAGCCUCUCCAGCAUUCGUCCGGUUCGAAUCAUGUGAUAUAUGGUACUGAGGUCAUUCACUCAGCUCACAUUUUAGGUGCUAGCGCCAUGUUAGCCGCUAGCGAGAUGCUAGCGCAGUGUUAGCAGCAAGCGCUAGCCCUCCGCAUGACGUUCAGUACCACUUGGGUUUGGCUGCAACAACUGGCGCCUUCCAGCUACCGAAGAGUUGUUGCUCACCUCAGGAGCAAAUAUUAUGUGGAAAACCUGAUGGAGACCAUCUUCAAUAAAGUCCUGCUGGACCCAGGUUGCUAUAUGGAGGACCUUGUGAACAUCCCUGUCCCACUGGCAGAAUGAGCAGAAUUUGAGCAGCAGAAAGGAGGUCAGCUGCACUGCUUCCGAUCAAAAGUCUUCCAAAACGUGAUGAGCACAACAAAGAUCCUCACAUCUCCCCAGGCAACUGCCCAUUACUGUACCUGUUCCACUCCAGAAACUAUGCUAGUUCUAUAUUAGCACUUGAUAUGUCACACACCUUAAUAAAGGCAAUUAAAAAUAUAUUAGGUCAAUAUGUAUAUAGAACCAAAGCUAGGUUUCUAAACCAGAGUUCCCAGGUACAGUAGGUUAUGCAGUGAUUAACCUGUAAAUAGUAAAAUGUUCUAAAAUUGUUUUUGAAAUUCUAUGAUACAAAUUUAUUUUAUGCAUGUGUAAUUGUCCAUAGUUUGUCUGAUAUACUAUAUAUUAAAUGUGUUCUGUAAUAAAUACAUAUUCAAACAUACAGGCUCCAGUCCUGGUAUCAUCAACCAUACAUGACAGUAGUUGAUCGAACUUUUAAUAUUAAAUACCACUUUUAUUAAUACUUUAAUAAAGGUAUUAAACACAUGCAAUAUCUUGACAGCAAUAGUUGCUGUCACACCAUGCCUCUGUAGGCUUUCACCGUUCCCACAUUAGCACUUAAUUACAGACAAAUAAGGCAAAAAAUAAGCUGCAGCUAAAGACUCCAUUAGGGAGAAAUUAUUUUGACACAGCAGCAGCACGAGAAAGAAAAAAACGUGUAAAAAUGAGUAGAAAAAGUAGAAAAAUUAAAAAAACCUAUACUUACACUUCCUAAAUUGUGGAACUAUAGUAUUUCUUAAAGGACACCACAAAACUAAAGAAAGUAGACAAUAAAAGACAUUUUAUGUCAUUCUUUAAAUGGCAAAAACACACAGUAGAUACAGUAGACACAUUUAUAUAAAUGUGGGGAUUGGACUAUAAACAUAACUGAAUAUGCUGUUUCAUAAUGUUAGUCCUUGCUACUGUACC